GUCAUGGUGGCUCAGUGGUAAGAGCGCCCACCUCAUGAACGGGAGGUCGUGGGUUCGAACCCCGGCCGAGUCA
rnacentral:tRNA from 1 species